CUGACGAGUCCUUUACUGACGCUAAAGCUCGAAGGUGCGGGUAUCGAACAGGAUUAGAUACCCUGGUAGUCCGCACGGUAAACGAUGGAUGCCCGCUGUUUGCGAUAUAUUGUAAGCGGCCAAGCGAAAGCGUUAAGCAUCCCACCUGGGGAGUACGCCGGCAACGGUGAAACUCAAAGGAAUUGACGGGGGCCCGCACAAGCGGAGGAACAUGUGGUUUAAUUCGAUGAUACGCGAGGAACCUUACCCGGGCUUGAACUGCAGGAGAACGAUCCAGAGAUGGUGAGGCCCUUCGGGGCUCCUGUGGAGGUGCUGCAUGGUUGUCGUCAGCUCGUGCCGUGAGGUGUCGGCUUAAGUGCCAUAACGAGCGCAACCCCUUUCGCCAGUUGCCAUCAGGUGAUGCUGGGCACUCCGGCGACACUGCCACCGUAAGGUGUGAGGAAGGUGGGGAUGACGUCAAAUCAGCACGGCCUUUACGUCCGGGGCUACACACGUGUUACAAUGGGUGGUACAGAGAGCAGGGUGCACGCAAGUUCACCCGAAUCAAGAAAGCCAUCCUCAGUUCGGAUUGGGGUCUGCAACCCGACCCCAUGAAGCUGG
rnacentral:rRNA from 1 species